UACGUAGGUGGCAAGCGUUGUCCGGAAUUAUUGGGCGUAAAGCGCGCGCAGGCGGCCUCUUAAGUCUGAUGUGAAAGCCCCCGGCUCAACCGGGGAGGGCCAUUGGAAACUGGGAGGCUUGAGUAUAGGAGAGAAGAGUGGAAUUCCACGUGUAGCGGUGAAAUGCGUAGAGAUGUGGAGGAACACCAGUGGCGAAGGCGGCGACCUGGACAAGUACUGACACUCAACUACGAAAGCGUGGGGAGCAAACAGG
rnacentral:rRNA from 1 species